rnacentral:rRNA from 1 species
GCGAGUGAAGCGGGAAGAGCUCACGUUGNGNNUNUGGCCCUCGGGCCCGAACUGUACACUGGAGAGGCGAGGCCAGCCGCUGUCCGCGGCCAAGUCUGAUUGGAAAUGAGCAUCAAGGAGGGUGACAAUCCCGUCCAUGCCGCGGUAUCGAUCAGCGCGCGUCCGGCCCGCUUUCGACGAGUCGAGUUGCUUGGGAUUGCAGCUCAAAGAGGGUGGUAAACUCCAUCCAAAGCUAAACACGG